UGGUCUUGAACCGGCGACGUAUCUAUCAAGUGUCUGCCUUAUCAACUUUCGAUGGUAGUUUAUGCGCCUACCAUGGUUGUUACGGGUAACGGAGAAUAAGGGUUCGACUCCGGAGAGGGAGCCUGAGAAACGGCUACCACAUCCAAGGAAGGCAGCAGGCGCGCAAAUUACCCACUCUCGGCAUGAGGAGGUAGUGACGAAAAAUAACGAGACCGUUCUCUAUGAGGCCGGUUAUCGGAAUGGGUACAAUUUAAACCCGUUAACGAGGAUCUAUGAGAGGGCAAGUCUGGUGCCAGCAGCCGCGGUAAUUCCAGCUCUCAAAGUGUAUAUCGUCAUUGCUGCGGUUAAAAAGCUCGUAGUUGGAUCUGCGCCUCAGGACUCGGUCCGCCCAUUGGGUGAGAACUGGGCUCCUAGGCUAAUACUGUUGGUUUUCCCUAUGUUGCCUUCAUCGGUCGCGUAGGGUGGCUAGCGAGUUUACUUUGAAAAAAUUAGAGUGCUUCACGCGGGCUAUUGUCUGAAUACUCGUGCAUGGAAUAAUAGAAUAGGAUCUCGGUUCUAUUUUGUUGGUUUUCUGAUCUGAGAUAAUGGUUAAGAGGGACGGACGGGGGCAUUCGUAUCGCUGCGUGAGAGGUGAAAUUCUUGGACCGUAGCGAGACGUCCGACUGCGAAAGCAUUUGCCAAGAAUGUCUUCAUUAAUCAAGAACGAAAGUCAGAGGUUCGAAGGCGAUCAGAUACCGCCCUAGUUCUGACCGUAAACGAUACCAACUAGCGUUCCGUCGGCGGUAAAUACGCCUUGGCGGGCAGCUUCCCGGAA
rnacentral:rRNA from 1 species